rnacentral:lncRNA from 1 species
CUUUGAAGACAAUAACAGUCACUAGAUAACUGGAAAAAAGGGAUGGGGACAGAGAAACCAAACGGAAGAUCUGAUCCUGGGCUUCUCUGUUCUGCCAAGCACAAGGGAGGUAGCACUAGUUAAGAGACUAUUAUAUCCUUUUCCACUAUGCAGGCUGCUGGUUUGUCUUAUUGACAGUGUCUUUUGCUUUACAGAACCUUUUCAGUUUCAGGAGGUCCCUUUUAUUAAUUGUUGAGCUCAGUGUCUGUGCUACUGGUGUUAUAAUCAGGAUGUUGUCUCCUGUGCCAAUUCAUUCAGGACUGAUAUCCAAAAUAUAUAAAGAACUCAAGAAAUUAGACAUCAAUAAACCAAAUAAUCCAAUUUAAAAAUGGGGUACAGAUAUAAACAGAAAAUUCUCAACAGAGGAAUAUCAAAUGCUUGAGACACACUUAAAGAAUUGCUUAACAUCCUUAGUCGUCAGGGAAAUGCAAACAAAAAUGACUCUGAGAUGCCAUCUUAUACCAAUCAGAAUGGCUACGAUCAAAAACACUAAUGUCAGCUUAUGCUGACAACAAUAUGGAGUAAGGAGAACACUCCUCCACUGCUGAUGGAAAUGCAAUCCUGUACAGUCACUUUGGAAAUCAAUAUGGCAGUUUCUCAGAAUAUUAGGAAUCAGUCUACCUCAAGACCCAGCUAUGCCACUCUUGGACAUACACCCAAAGGAUGCUCCAUCAUUCCACAAGGACACUUGAUCAACUAUGUCUGUGGCAGCCUUAUCCCUAAUAUCCAGAAGCUGAAAACAACCUAGAUGUCCCUCAACCAAAGAAUGAUACAUUUACACAAUGGAGUAUUACUCAGAUGUUAAAAAACUACAUCAGGAAAUUUGAAGGUAAAUAGAUGGAACUAGAAAAAUCCCCAGCGAGGUAACCCAGACCCAGAAAGACAAACAUGACAGGGUUUCUCUGUAUUGCUUUGAAGGCUGUCCUGGAACUUGCUCUGUAGACCAGGCUGGUCUCGAACUCACAGAGAUCUGCCUGCCUCUGCCUCACAAGUGCUGGGAUUAAAGGCGUGCGCCACCAAUGCCCAGCCCAGGGGAGAGUAAUGAAAGAGACUUCUUGAUGGGGAGGGAGUUC